GUUUUCCCCAACACUAGUGUUUUUCCCCCUAUACCAAAAGGAAAAUUGGUGAAGCCAGACCUUUUCCAGUGCUGGCACAGUGCUAUGAAGAGGCGCUGUAGAGUUGCUGGCAGUGGAUUCCUGAUUAGCCAGAGCUGACACCAAUCUCACACCUGCAGCACGUUGAGGCAAUCAGCACCUGACCAAAAGGCCCUGGUCUCCUCUCCACUCUCUGCCAGAUUAUUUCGUAUACCACACGCGUGAUCAUUUCACUCCUGGGAGGGCUCACCAGUGAAAGAGAGCUCACUGGUGAGCCGGACCGCUUCCUCCUCUGGCUCUCUUUGUUGCAUCAACCUCCCUGCCUCUCUCCUGUGGUCACUUGAGUUUCUCCUGUUGAAUGACCUAAUCGAUUCUGGUGCUGAUGGCAUCUUUAUUGAUGUUGGCCUAGUCGAGCAAGCUACCAUCCCCAGUGAGUCACCUGAAACCCCUAAGACUGUGAAUACCUGCGACAGCAGAUUAUUGGCCACUAUCACCCAAGUUUGCCAACUUCUAUCAAAGAUUUAUUUGUGAUUACAGCGGAGUUACCACACCACUCACCCACCUGACCACAACUAACUGCUUUUCUCAGACUCUAGCAACUUUUCACCAAAGCACCCAUUCUAAGACAUCAUGACCCCACUCUACAGUUUGUAGUUGUAGUGAAUGGCUCUGAUUCUGGGGUGGUGGCUGUCCUUUCCCAGCAUGACUGACAGUUGUCCUGGCGCUACAAGAGUGGCGACACUGGCACUUAGGAUCCUUCCCUGAUUUGGACGGACCAUAAGAACCUUACAUAUCUGCGCUCAGCCAAACAUCUGAACUCCUGUCAGGUCCGGUACUUAUUCAAGUAUUAGCAAAUGGCUAAAAAAAAAAAUCCAGCAGAGAAGGGCCGGGCUGCAGCUGAACUAGUGGGAGAUGACAUGGUCAACAGCAACUAUCGAGAUCUGCCGACAGAAGAGAGUGACUGGUUGUCGAUUGCUAACAUUGCCCUCUGAUGCUAACAGAAACAAAUUAUAUCUGCUGCAGUGAAUUUUAGGGUGGGUAGCUUUUGUUGGAUCAUGUU